GCAAAGUUUGGGAUCCACAGUCUACAAAACCCCACAUCCCCUGAGAAUUCUCUCGCCUGCCUUAGGCACUUAGGCUCCGGGAGAUUGCAAAUAACCUGCUUUCUUUCUGUUCCCGGGCUGCGUUCGGACUCCUGUCAGAUAGUAAAUCCUAAGUAAGGUACCUGCCAUCGGCAGAUUUGAGCUUUCUUCUUGGACACCUAAUACCCACAGUCCUCCAAGUGGGUCCUAAGGUUCUUAGGAUCCGCGAUGGGGGUCCUAUGCCGGGGGGGACGAGGGGCUGGCUCUCAGUCCCUGCCUCGUUGGGGGUGCCUCCCACCCCUGCGAUUGGUGUCCUAAGAGCCAGGGGGAGAAGAGGGGCUGGCUCUCAGUCCCCGCCUCGUGGGGGGUGUCUCCCCCCCUGCGAUGGGGGUCCUAAGAGCCGGGGGCAGAAUAGGGGCUGCCUCUGCGUCCCUGCCUCGUGGGGGGUGCCUCCCCCUCCUGGGAUGGGGGCCCUAAGAGCCAGAGGGGGAAGAGGGGCUGGCUCUCAGUCCCUGCCUCGUGGGGGGUUGCCUCCCCCCCUGCGAUGGGGUUCCUAAGAGCCUGUGGCGGAUGAGGGGCUGGCUCUCAGUCCCCGCCUCGCAGGGGGUGCCACCCCCCCUGCGAUGGGGGUCCCAAGAGCCACGGGGGGAAAAGGGGCUGGCUCUCAGCCACCACAAAAUGGGGGGCCUUUAUGUUCAGGUUUUGCCCAAGAGUCAGCUUAUUUGCUUCUUGUACUAGCAGGGCAGUUGCUGCCAAGGCCCUCAAACAGGGGGGCCAUCCUUUAGAAACCCUAUCUAGUUGUUCAGAGACGUAGGCCACCGGCCUCAGCCAGGGCCCCACAGUUUGGGUUAAAAGUCCAGCUGCCAUCUUUUCUCUCUCUAACGCAUACAAUGGCAAAGGCUUUGUCAGAUCGGGUAGCCCCAGGGCUGGGGCUGCCAGAAGUUUUUCCUUUAAGUCAUGAAAGACUUGCUGUUCUUGGGAUCCCCAUUCCAAAGGUUCCCGGUCCCCGCCCCCUUUGUGACCUCAUACAAAGGCUUGGCUAAUACUGCAAAGUUUGGGAUGCACAAUCUACAAAACCCCACAGCCCCUGAGAAUUCUCUCGCCUGCCUUCGGCCCUUAGGCUCCGGGAGAUUGCAAAUAACCUGCUUUCUUUCUGUUCCCAGGUGGCGUCGGACCCCUGUCAGAGAGUAAAUCUCAAGUAAGGUACCUGCCAUCGGCAGAUUUGAGCUUUCUUCUUGGACACCUAAUACCCACAGUCCUCCAGGAUAACUUCAGGAAGUGGGUAUUAAUUCUCACGGUAUAAGUGAAGACAUUAAGCACCAGAGUUUAAGUAGCUUGCUAGAUCCACUGAAAGAGAUUCAACUGUGUGGAACCUAUGCCGUGGAGAAUUGCUUUCUGCCAUUGUUAUCGUCCAGCAGUUGCCGAAUAGCUCUGACCUGAGCAAAGCAGUGAAACGCGGUGCUGUUGAGUGGGUUGCCACUGCACCUUUUUCAACUACUCUAGUCUUGUGGAGAAAAUACCCCUUCUAAAUUUUUUCUUCAUUGAAUACUCUCCCUCAGCUCCAGAGUACCAUAUAGAGUUUUCUUGUAUUUUAGAGUUACUGUUUUAUCAAAGUUUACCAGUCUUUUGUAUUACAUUUCUCCUGUCUAAAUCGACUGUGUGGUUUCUACUCAUUAUGGAUAUAGAUUGAUACAAACUCA
rnacentral:lncRNA from 1 species